GGGGCAGUCGUUGAGAGGGCGGCCUUGGCGUUAGGAGUGUGUCGGCUGCACCCUGGCGGACGGACCUUGGGAAGGAGGGGAGGGACCGUCGGGGUCGGCGGGGAGCUACGGGUUCCCCUCUUCCAAGAUGGGUGCCAAAUGACGAGUAUCAGGUGUCUAUGGCAAGAUUUGGGGAGGAUCCCAGACCUUAACAGCCCUUUGGUUGAAUCCUCUCACAAUGUGGCAGGGCCUCUCUCCAAGUCUGGACUGUGCCUUUUGAUUGGAACAUCUCUGUCAGCCCCAGGGUCUGCAUCACACGUGGUCUGCGUCUGUGCACAUGGCUGCUGUCUCUUUUUAGCAGUGACAUCACCCUGCCUGGUACUGUUGUUUAUGAGGCCGUCUCCCCACCUGGCUGGGGGCCACUGCUUUGGCCAUUCAGAGUGGAAUUCCUUUGUCUUUCAGCCUCUAGCACAGGCCUGGGCCAGCAUUGCUGCUCAGGAAAUGCCUGUGGAAUCAAAGUGGGGACUGUCCCAGGUGUUGAGGAUUUACUGUGUGCUAGGCCUGUCCCUGACACUUUAUAUGUGUUAUCUCAUUUACACCCCCACAGUCAUCCUGGGAGGGAGAAGUUACCCUAUUUUACUGAGAAGAAACAGAGUGAUUGAAGUUGGGCUUUGCCUUAGGCCCACUUGUGAUGAUUGAUGGCACCAGGGCCAACUCUAGGGUCAGUGCCCUGGUCGUGUUUGAGGUGUGUGGGCUGAAAAAGGGGAGACACACUUCAAGGCCCCUGGGAUCCUCAGAAACCUUCUACUAACAGGUUCCUAGUUUGGCUCUGAUUUCAUCCGUGAGGACACAGAAGCCUAGAAAGGGGAGAUAACUUAAUUAUAGACCCUCUUCUCCACUUGUUAUGUACUUAUGUAUCCACUUAAUUUUGGCAGGAUGGGUCUGUUUUGAUUCACCAUUGCACCACCCAUGUAACCCAGUACCUGAUCCAGGUUGACGCCCAGUAAAUACUUUCACAUUUUAUUUAUUAUGAAAACACUGAGAAAUGUAUAAAAAUUAAUAGAACAAAUACCUGUGUACCUACCAUCCAGCUUGCAAAAUGAAACACUGCUAAUGUAGAUAAAGACCUUUUUGUUUCCCUCUAUGACUGACCCCCAAACCAAGAAAUAAAGACUCUCCUGAUUUGGU
rnacentral:lncRNA from 1 species